GGUGAGUAAUGCGUAGGAAUCUGCCCAGUAGUGGGGGAUAACCCGGGGAAACCCGGGCUAAUACCGCAUACGCCCUACGGGGGAAAGCGGGGGCCUUCGGGCCUCGUGCUAUUGGAUGAGCCCAAGUCAGAUUAGCUAGUUGGUGAGGUAAUGGCUCACCAAGGCGACGAUCUGUAGCUGGUCUGAGAGGAUGAUCAGCCACACUGGGACUGAGACACGGCCCAGACUCC
rnacentral:rRNA from 1 species